GACGAACGCUGGCGGCGUGCUUAACACAUGCAAGUCGAACGGUGAAGCGCCUUCCUUUUUGGUGGGUGUGGAUGAGUGGCGAACGGGUGAGUAGCACGUGAGUAACCUGCCCCCUUCUUCUGGAUAACCGCAUGAAAGUGUGGCUAAUACGGGAUAUUCUGGGUCUGUCGCAUGAUGGGUCUUGGAAAGAUAUUGUUUCGGUGGGGGAUGGGCUCGCGGCCUAUCAGCCUGUUGGUGGGGUGAUGGCCUACCAAGGCGGUGACGAGUAGCCGGCCUGAGAGGGUGGGCGGUCACACUGAGGAUACACCACGGACCAGACUACUACGGGAGGCAGCGGUGGGGAAUGUUGCACAAGGGGCGCAAGCCUGAUGCAGCGACGCCGCGUGAGGGAUGGAGGCCUGCGGGUUGUGAACCUCUUUCGCCAGAGAAGCAGGCCUGCCUCGUUUGUGGGUGGGUUGACGGUAGCUGGAUAAGAAGCGCCGGCUAACUACGUG
rnacentral:rRNA from 1 species